rnacentral:sRNA from 1 species
CCUAUAGGUGACCUGCGGAGGAUAUUACCUAGAGUUGCGGGCUUUGCCUGCUAUCUCUUACCCAUGUCUUUUGAGUACCUUCGUUUCCUCGGCGGGUUCGCCCGCCGAUUGGACAAUUUAAACCAUUUGCAGUUGCAAUCAGCGUCUGAAAAAACUUAAUAGUUACAACUUUCAACAACGGAUCUCUUGGUUCUGGCAUCGAUGAAGAACGCAGCGAAAUGCGAUAAGUAGUGUGAAUUGCAGAAUUCAGUGAAUCAUCGAAUCUUUGAACGCACAUUGCGCCCCUUGGUAUUCCAUGGGGCAUGCCUGUUCGAGCGUCAUUUGUACCUUCAAGCUCUGCUUGGUGUUGGGUGUUUGUCUCGCCUCUGCGCGCAGACUCGCCUCAAAACAAUUGGCAGCCGGCGUAUUGAUUUCGGAGCGCAGUACAUCUCGCGCUUUGCACUCAUAACGACGACGUCCAAAAGUACAUUUUUACACUCUUGACCUCGGAUCAGGUAGGGAUACCCGCUGAACUUAAGCAAU